ensembl:lncRNA
UUUGGAGGCGUGUUAGCCUAAUAUAUAAAUAAAUAAAAAAAUUUCCCCAAAUGAAAUACACCGCCAUGAUGUGACGCGCAAACCCGAAUGAUCCGGUUUGGUAGGCUUAAUACGGUGGAUCAGGUAUGUUAGAGCGGGAAAAAGGCACAGGAGAAAACUCAGGACCAGGAUUCAAAAAAAAAAAAAAAAAAAAACACCCGGCUAAAAAAAAGUGGCAAGGAUGAAGUGGAAUUUAGGGAAAGGAUGUUUUAGUGUCUGGUGCAGCCUCUAUUCAUUCCCCUCCCUUUUCCGUGAUCUUGCUUUGACAAAGAAGGUCGACUAAAAGAAAAGAGCAAAACAAAAAGUUUCUUCCGAAGGCGUCUUCAAAAUUUUUUUUAUCAUGUUUCAUUCCACCAACACGGAAAUUCCCAACCGAAUUGUUUUGAUAAUGUGUCUUAGGGUUACAGCAAGGUGAGAAAAAAAAAUCAACAUCAACAACAAAAAAAAACCCCCGACCGUCCAGGAGGAGUGUGAUGUCUGGGGUUAGUGCCCUGUGAUGGACUGGCACCCCGUCCAGGAUGUCCCCCUGGGAUAGGCUCCAGGUAGUAAGGAUAAGCGGUACAGAAAAUGGAUGUAUGGAUGUAUGGAUUAAUAAGGGUUGUCCAGUCUUAUCUGCGAAAGGUCAGCGUUUCUGCAGGUUUUCAUACCAGCCAAGUAUCUGAUUGAAGGCCAGGAUGAAUUGUUUAAACAGGUGGAAACAGUGGAAAACGCAAGAGUCGUAGACAUGGAUUGGGAUUGGAGCCCAGAUUACUGAAGAUGUGACAGUGAAUGAGUUGAUCAGGUCCUCCUCAACCCUCUGAACUUGUUUCUGUGCGGAAUAAAAAUAUCUGAUUCUGAUGAUUCUAAUGACUUUAUGGUGCCAUGUCCAAGCAUCCAGUACAGGUUUAUCCUCUGAAGGAG